rnacentral:rRNA from 1 species
AACGAACGCUGGCGGCAUGCCUAACACAUGCAAGUCGAACGAGGCCUUCGGGUCUAGUGGCGCACGGGUGCGUAACGCGUGGGAACCUGCCCUUAGGUUCGGAAUAACUCCCCGAAAGGGGUGCUAAUACCGGAUAAUGUCUUCGGACCAAAGAUUUAUCGCCUUUGGAUGGGCCCGCGUUGGAUUAGCUAGUUGGUAGGGUAAAAGCCUACCAAGGCGACGAUCCAUAGCUGGUCUGAGAGGAUGAUCAGCCACACUGGGACUGGGACACGGCCCAGACUCCUACGGGAGGCAGGAGUGGGGAAUAUUGGGCCAUGGGCGAAAGCCUGAUCCAGCAAUGCCGCGUGAGUGAUGAAGGCCUUAGGGUUGUAAAGCUCUUUUACCCGGGAUGAUAAUGACAGUACCGGGAGAAUAAGCUCCGGCUAACUCCGUG